ensembl:lncRNA
UUUUUUUUUUCUUUUUUUUUUGAGAAAAAAAGAUAGAUAUGUAAUGAUCUUGCAUGAUAGGUGUUUUGUUCUGUAGGGAUCUCUGGCAGCCCCUGUUUUAUCCGUUGGACCAACUGUCUGUAAAGGCAGGUCACUUACUUCUCUCUCCUGGGGAAGGACCUUUUGCCUUACCCAAAGCUCACUAGUCACAGAGUCGUCCUGGUGACAAAGACACGGAUUGAAGCUGCACUCAGCACUCAUCGCCGAUCAAGGGAAGUGAGCUCAUCUCACCUUGACUCACAGCGAUGACAGGUCCAAGCCCGCCUGUGGGCCCGUUCCUCAGAGGAGGUUUGCAAUGGGGGUGGGGGUUGCCAUGGUGAUGCCCAGUCAACAGAAUGGAGAAAAGAGAAAUUUGGUUUGAAAUGAAAUUUGAGUCUUGAGAGAGGGCUGAUAUGGAGAAGGAGAAUCAAACAAGCCACGUGGGAGCAUCUGAAGGCCUGGAGAUGAGGGCCUGUUGCGUAACUGUGAAAAUUUGGCCUUUAAAAUAACUAGGCAUGGGCCAGAAACCAGAGCCAGUGGCUGCAACCACCCAAGUGAGUGAAAGGGAGCUGGAUGAGAAGGUGGGCGCGCCUGGUUUAGGGUCCUUGACAGUUCUGUCCAGAUUGCGUUUGAGGGUGGGGUGUCCUCAGGGGACUCUGGUGAGUUGGGGGUGGGGAAGGCGGCUGACUCCUUGGGGGCUGGUCACCUUCAACAGCUGUUCUCCAGUGGCACCUUAAGAAGCAAUGUUAGCAAUGGGAGCUCCCCCGCCAAGAUGAGGGUGGUCGGUACCCAGUGACUUUCAAAGCCAGCAACCAAGGGAUCUCACAGAAGUCCAUCAGCCUGAAGGCAGGCAUCCGGGAGAUGACUAAAGCCAGGCAAUAUAGGCAAGAGGUACCCUCAGAACCCCCUCGAGUUGCCCCACUGUUCCUUUCUGUGCUGCCUGUGCGUGCAGCCUCUGAGUUCCUUGUGUCCUCGGGAGGUGGAGUAUGCAUCCCUGUGGGCUCAUCCGUCCUCGUCCCCAUCAUCCUCCCUGGCACCAUGCAGACUCUGAGCUUCUGCCCGCCCCACCCAGGUGUCUCAUCCCUCCUGCCUCGGGGAGCCUGGCUGAAGAGCGGGCGCCACCCUGAGCCACCCCUGCCCAGUCAGAGCAGCUCUGGUCCGAGGCUUCACCCCAGCAGACAGGCUCCUUAAGCCUCUUUAAUCUGCACGGAGGAAAUUCAGAAAUCCAGUCAUCCUGAAACCGUCUUCUUCCGGGGCAAGACAGAACCCGUGUGUGUGGGUGGAUGAGUGUGGAUGGUGGGACCCCAACAUCACCAAAGGCAAAGAGAAGAAGGAAACUCACUAUUCUAGCAGUCGCUGGGCCGAGACUCUGUUAAGCCAUUUUAUGGGCCGUCCCCUAAAACACGACAGUUCUGCCAGGCAGGUGUGGCAGAAGCAGGGCUGUGCAUUUUCCAGAACACUGCAGCUUCAGCAUGUCCUGCCUCGCCUCCCCUGGUUUCCAGCCAGGGCCCCUGGGAGUGAUGCUGGAGGACACCACCUCCAGGCUGUCCCCCAAACCUCCUACCCAAUACUCUCAC